rnacentral:rRNA from 1 species
UAACUAUAACUCUCUUAAGGUAGCGAAAUGCCUUGUCGUUUAAUUGACGACUCGCAUGAAUGGCGUAACGAGAUCUCCACUGUCCCUAGUUGGAAGCCACUGAACACUCUAUCCUGGUGCAAAGGCCAGGGAUCUCCAGUGGGAAGCGAAGACCCCGUGAAACUUUACUGUAGUUUGUCGUUGUGAUGUUAGUUCUAUUGCAUAGUGUAAGUGGGAGCUGUUUGAAUCAUGCAUUUUCGGGUGUAUGUUAGGCACUAAUGUAACACCACUCCUUAGAAUUGGCGUUGCUUACUUGUUUACAAGGACAUCGACUGAUGGACAGUUUGGCUGGGGUGGCAACCCGCCGAAAAAAUAUCGGCGGGGCCCUAAGGUUAGCUCAGACGGGUUGGAAAUCCGUUGUAGAGUGCAAGAGCAAAAGCUAGCCUGAUUGGAUCUUUAAUAUGACGAGUUCCAAACACGAAAGUGUGGUCUAGCGAACCUCUAUGUCCUCAUUGAUGGGGGCUAGAGAUGACCGAAAAGUUACUCCGGGGAUAACAGAGUUGUCGCGCCUGAGAGCUCAUAUCGACGGCGCGGUUUGCUACAUCGAUGUCGGCUCUUCCUAUCCUGGAUGUGCACAAGCAUCCAAGGGUGAAGGUGUUCACUUAUCAAAAGGGAUCGUGAGCUGGGUUCAGUACGCUGUGAGGCAGUAUGUUUGAUAUCUACUGGAGAUGUAGAAUGUCUGAGAGGAAGGAUCUUCUAGUACGAGAGGAACGAAGAAUCGAAGCCACUGGUCUACCGGUUAUCUGAUAAGGUAUGCCGGGCAGCUACGCUUUAAGAGAUAAGUGCUGAAAGCAUCUAAGCACGAAACUCACCUCAAAAAGAGACAUUUUCGGGAUUCCUGUAAAAGACAGGUUUGAUAG